UACGGAGGGUGCAAGCGUUGUUCGGAAUCACUGGGCGUAAAGCGCGUGUAGGCGGUUCCUUAAGUCUGGUGUGAAAGCCCGGGGCUCACCCCCGGAAGUGCACUGGAGACUGAGGAGCUUGAGUACCGGAGAGGAGGGUGGAAUUCCUGGUGUAGCGGUGAAAUGCGUAGAUAUCAGGAGGAACACCGGUGGCGAAGGCGGCCCUCUGGACGGCUACUGACGCUGAGACGCGAAAGCGUGGGGAGCAAACAGG
rnacentral:rRNA from 1 species